CUCCUCUCAGGAUGAUACCUGGAGAGUUUCCAGUGCUCUACCAGUCUCGGCUACAGGAAGGAGAGUCAAGCAGAGGCACACCCAUUCCAUUCCUAGUUUGGGCAGUGGCUAGUGAGUGGAAGGCAAUUUGCUCCAAGU